UCCACUUGGGCUUAAAGCUGUCCUGCCAGA
rnacentral:piRNA from 2 species